CGGGUGAGUGGCGGACGGGUGAGUAACGCCUGGGAACGUGCCCUUUGGUUCGGAACAACACAGGGAAACUUGUGCUAAUACCGAAUGUGCCCUUCGGGGGAAAGAUUUAUCGCCAUUGGAGCGGCCCGCGUUGGAUUAGCUAGUUGGUGGGGUAAAGGCCCACCAAGGCUACGAUCCAUAGCUGGUCUGAGAGGAUGAUCAGCCACACUGGGACUGAGACACGGCCCAGACUCCUACGGGAGGCAGCAGUGGG
rnacentral:rRNA from 1 species